rnacentral:rRNA from 1 species
UACGGAGGGUGCGAGCGUUACCCGGAAUUACUGGGCGUAAAGGGCUCGUAGGCGGCCAACUAAGUCGGAUGUGAAAUCCCCAGGCUCAACUUGGGAACUGCAUCCGAUACUGGAUGGCUUGAAUUCGGGAGAGGGAUGCAGAAUUCCAGGUGUAGCGGUGAAAUGCGUAGAUAUCUGGAGGAAUACCGGUGGCGAAGGCAGCUCGCUGGAACGGUACUGACGCUGAGGCGCGAAAGCGUGGGGAGCAAACAGG